AUACGUAGGGGGCGAGCGUUGUCCGGAAUGAUUGGGCGUAAAGGGCGCGUAGGCGGCGCGGUAAGUCUGGAGUGAAAGUCCUGCUUUCAAGGUGGGAAUUGCUUUGGAUACUGCCGCGCUUGAGUGCAGGAGAGGUUAUCGGAAUUCCCGGUGUAGCGGUGAAAUGCGUAGAGAUUGGGAGGAACACCAGUGGCGAAGGCGACUUACUGGACUGUAACUGACGCUGAGGCGCGAAAGUGUGGGGAGCAAACAGGAUUAGAUACCCUGGUAGUCCACACUGUAAACGAUGAAUGCUAGGUGUAGGGGGUAUCGACCCCUUCUGUGCCGCAGUCAACACAAUAAGCAUUCCGCCUGGGGAGUACGGCCGCAAGGUUGAAACUCAAAUGAAUUGACGGGG
rnacentral:rRNA from 1 species